UUAUGUGUUGAUCCUGGCUCAGAUUGAACGCUGGCGGCAUGCCUUACACAUGCAAGUCGAACGGCAGCACGGGAGCAAUCCUGGUGGCGAGUGGCGAACGGGUGAGUAAUACAUCGGAACGUGUCCUGUAGUGGGGGAUAGCCCGGCGAAAGCCGGAUUAAUACCGCAUAACGCUCUACGGAGGAAAGGGGGGGAUCUUAGGACCUCUCGCUACAGGGGCGGCCGAUGGCAGAUUAGCUAGUUGGUGGGGUAAAGGCCUACCAAGGCGACGAUCUGUAGCUGGUCUGAGAGGACGACCAGCCACACUGGGACUGAGACACGGCCCAGACUCCUACGGGAGGCAGCAGUGGGGAAUUUUGGACAAUGGGCGCAAGCCUGAUCCAGCAAUGCCGCGUGUGUGAAGAAGGCCUUCGGGUUGUAAAGCACUUUUGUCCGGAAAGAAAACCUCUGGGUUAAUACCCCGGGGGGAUGACGGUACCGGAAGAAUAAGCACCGGCUACUACG
rnacentral:rRNA from 1 species